rnacentral:rRNA from 1 species
GACGAACGCUGGCGGCGUGCCUAAUACAUGCAAGUCGAACGCUGAAGGAGGAGCUUGCUCUUCUGGAUGAGUUGCGAACGGGUGAGUAACGCGUAGGUAACCUGCCUGGUAGCGGGGGAUAACUAUUGGAAACGAUAGCUAAUACCGCAUAAUAGUAGAUGUUGCAUGAUAUUUACUUAAAAGGUGCAAUUGCACCACUACCAGAUGGACCUGCGUUGUAUUAGCUAGUUGGUGGGGUAACGGCUCACCAAGGCGACGAUACAUAGCCGACCUGAGAGGGGGAGCAGCCACACUGGGACUGUGACACGGCCCAGAGGCCUACGGGAGGCAGCAGUAGGGAAUCUUCGGCAAUGGACGAAAGUCUGACCGAGCAACGCCGCGUGAGUGAAGAAGGAUGUCGGAUCGGAAAGCUCGGUUGUAGGGGAAGAACGAGUGUGAGAGUGGAAAGUUCACACUGUGACGGUAUCUGACCAGAAAGGGACGGCUAACUACGUG